GGCGGGGUAGCUCAGAUGGUUAGAGCGUUGGAUUCAUAACCCAAAGGUCGGCAGUUCGAUUCUGCUCCCCGCUACUA
rnacentral:tRNA from 6 species